rnacentral:tRNA from 4 species
GGAGGCGUGGCAGAACGGUAUUGCAGCUCGUCGCUAGCGAGUCGCCGCUUGACCCGCGGUUGGGGGUUCGAAUCCCUCCGCCUCCG